GCUUGUAGCUCAAUGGUAGAGCGUCCGCGGACUACCGUGCCGAAGGUCACAGGUUCGACUCCAGCUGGUAAAACA